GAUAGCUCAAUUGGAUAGAGCAAUAGUCUUCUAAACUAUAGGUUAGAGGUUCGAUUCCUCUU
rnacentral:tRNA from 1 species